rnacentral:rRNA from 1 species
UACUUAGGGUGCGAGCGUUGUCCGGAAUUACUGGGCGUAAAGAGCUCGUAGGUGGUUUGUCGCGUUGUUCGUGAAAACCGGGGGCUUAACCCUCGGCGUGCGGGCGAUACGGGCAGACUGGAGUACUGCAGGGGAGACUGGAAUUCCUGGUGUAGCGGUGGAAUGCGCAGAUAUCAGGAGGAACACCGGUGGCGAAGGCGGGUCUCUGGGCAGUAACUGACGCUGAGGAGCGAAAGCGUGGGGAGCGAACAGG